UCGCCUGUUUAUCAAAAACAUCUCUAAUAAAUUUAGUAUCGCCUGCUCAGUGAAAAAUUUUUAACAGCCAGCAUAUGCUAAGGUAGCAUAAUAAUUUGCUUUAUAAUUAAAAGAUGGAAUGAAAGGUUUUUCUUAAAAUAAUCUUAUUUUAAUUUUUUAUUAAAUUUUUUUGUGGAUGAAAAAAUCAACAUUAUUUUUUUAGACGAUAAGACCCUAUGAAGCUUUACUAUAAAUUAGUUUUUUUGGGGCAAAAAAUAAUAUUAAUAUUUUUUAAAAGAAUAAUUUUGAUCUUUUUGAAUUUUAAGAAAAAGCUACUCUAGGGAUAACAGCAUAAUUUUUAUAAAAGUUCUUAUUAUAAUAAAAGUUUGUGACCUCGAUGUUGA
rnacentral:rRNA from 1 species